rnacentral:lncRNA from 1 species
AGAAAAGGAACGAUACUUUAAUCAUUUUUUCUAUGAAACAGAAAGAUAUUUUAAUCAUACUCAAUUAAACUAAGGGAUUUAAAAUAAAAGGGAAAAAACCGAUACAUCACUGUAGCAAGAGGUUGCUGGUGAUAGAUCCAAACCGUUGAUGAAUUAGUCAACAUAUCCAACAACGUUAAAUUCAUUUUCACAGGUGAGAGACAUGACUCACUCGCUCACGCUAGCCUCCGCCUAGCAUUACACAAUAAAACAUCAACAUCCAACAACCUGAAAAAGCAAAAACCAAUGCAACGUAUUAAAAAAGAAAUUAAACAAAAAAGUGUGGCAGAGUGGGGAAUGUGAUUUGCAGUUUAGAAAAAAGAAUACUACUAGAUGAUUUUGAUAAGAAGGUGUUC